ensembl:lncRNA
AUGCAAGGCUCAGCCCCCAGGGAUGAUGAGAGACCCCCACUUAGAGAGCAGAGAACAGCUUCCACAGAAGAUGAGACGCACCAAGUUAGAGAUGCAAGGCCAGCACCCAGGGAUGAUGAGAGACCCCCACUUAAGGAGCAGAGAACAGCUUCCACAGAAGAUGAGCGGGACCAAGUGAGAGAUGCAAGGCCAGCACCGAGGAAUGAUGAGAUACACCAACUUAGGGAGAAGAGAACAGCUUCUACAGAAAAUGAGAAGCACCAAGCUAGAGAUGCAAGACUAGCCCCCAGGGAUGAUUGGAGACCCGCACUUAGGGAGCAGAGAACAGCUUCCACAGAAGAUGAGAGGUACCAAGUGAGAGACGCAAGACCAGCCCCCAAGGAUGAUUGGAGACCCGCACUUAGGGAGCAGAGAACAGCACCCAUAGAUGAUGAGAGGUACCAAGUGAGAGAUGCAAGGCCAGCCCCCAGGGAUGAUGGGAGACCCCCACUUAGGGAACAGAGAACAGCUUCCACAGAAGAUGAGAGGGACCAAGCCAGAGAUGCAAGACCAGCACCCAGGGAUGAUGGGAGACCCCCACUUAGGGAGCAGAGAACAGCUUCCACAGAAGACGAGAGGUGCCAAGGGAGAGAUGCAAGACCAGCCCCCAGGGAUAAUAGGAAACACCAAGUCAGGGAGCAGAGAACAGCUUCCACAGAAGAUGAAAGACACCAAGUGGGAGAUAAAAUCCCAGAGUUAAGAAAUGGUGGUAGAAAUGACACGAGGGAGCAGAGACCAUAUCCAAGACGGUAUGAAAGAUGCCAAGAUUAUGAUCAAUCCCCAGGACCAAGGAAUGAUGGGAAACGUCUGGUGAGAGACCUGAGCCUACAACUCCAGAAUGAUUGGAGACACCAAAUUAGGGAGCACAAAUCAGAACCCAGAGAUGAAGGGAGACACCAAGAAGAGAGUCCAACUCCAGCAGAAGAUAAGAGAUAUCUAGUGAUAAAUGAAAACCCAGCAUUAAGGAAUGACAGGAGGAGCCAAGUGAGGGACCAGGACUCUGAACCCAAGAGUGAUGGGAGUCACCCAGUUAGGGAGCAGAGACCAGCACUAAGACAAUAUGAAAGAUUCCAACAGAGAGACCAGAUUCUUGUAACAAGGGAGGAUGAGAGAAGUCCAGUGGGGAAUCUGAGCACUAAACCCAGAAAUGAUGAGGCCCGCCAAGCUAGGGAGCAGAGACAGGAACCCAGGUACGAUGGCAGAAGUCAAGGUAGGGAGCAGAGCUCAGCUCUACAACAACAAGGAAGAACUCAACUUAGAGAACAGAUCCCCACACCAAGGGAUAAGGAGAGAAGACAAGAGAGAGACCUGAACCCUGAGCCCAGCAAUGAUGGAAGAGGUCAACUUACAGGUUAUAGACCAGCUCUAAGACAACACGAAGGAUUCCAGCAUGAAGACAAGAUCCCCUCACCCGGGGAUGAUGAGAGAAACCAAGUGGGAGACUUCAAGAGACACCAAAUGAAAGACGUGAGACAAGAACCCAAGCAUGCUGGGAGAAGUCAACUUAGAGAGCAGAGACCAGCUCCAAAACCAAAAGAAAGACCACAGCAUAGAGACUGGAUCCCUGCAGUAAGGGAUGACGAGAGAAGCCAGAUGAGAGAUGUGAGCUUUGGCCCCAGGAAUGAUGGAAGCAACCAUGAGAGAGGCCUGAACCCAGAAUUUAGGAAUUAUGGAAGACACCAAGGAGGAGAUGCGAGACCAGGACCAAGGAGCAAUUUGAGACAAGAGAUUGGAGAGCAAAGGCAACCUUUAAGAAAGGCGGAGGAUUACCAUGGGGGCAACAGUGAGAGGAGCUCUGGAAUAGGCCUGUCUCUGAGAGAGCCAGACCAUGAAACAGAAGAGCAACUGUGGGUAGAACAAGAGCAGAAUCAUUUGACCAAGCAAGAGAAAGCUGAGCCGAGGGAUUCAAAUCCUUGGGAGUCAGCAUCCACCAGAAAAAUUGGACCAAUAAGCUGUGAGCUGUACUUCUGUUCCAGACAGAACGGUAACUGGGUAUGCUAUUGCCUACAGGGUCCAUCUGAAGGAACCAAUACAAGAAAUCAGCUCUCUACAGGUUCAGAGGUGUCUACGAGUCACAGGAGCGGAGGAAGACCUGACCACCUCCCAGUCUGGGAUCCAGAAGAAGAAUAUUUGUACCAAGAUGCAGAAGAAGCAUGGGAAGAUGAUGUUGGUGGCCAGCAGCAUGAGCUCUAUCAUGCAUUGAACAACAUCGGCUCCUUGCAAGAUGAAUUCUGA